UUUUAAAAAUGUAAAUAUGUAACAUAAUUUCCUAAUUUAUAUACAGUAUAAAUCGGGAGUUUUUUUUCCACUCCACAGUGGAGGAAGGGAAGGUUAUUUCUACCAGUAUUCCAACAAAUACAUAUUUGAUUAUGUAGAAAGCAUGAUUAUAUUAAAUACAGGCAUCUCCUACUUAGAAUACAAUUAUUCAACACAAAAGAUGAACUAAUUUCAAAGAACAAUGUAAACUGAACUUAGGCCUUGUACACCCUCUUUUUACUAAUAACACCUAUGGUCCCCAUUAGAAUAAACUGUCACUAAAUCAAGGCCAAAGAUUUCGAUAUUUGGCUUUCUGUCCUGCCUCCUUACUUCCAAGGCUAUUUAUGCAAACUGCAUCAACAUUACUGGGCAAAGAAAUAGUUAGUAAUAUUAAAUUAUGGGGAAAACUAUAUGAGGAACUGAAAUUUCCUUAGAAUUUUUAUGGGGAGAAAUUGAAGCAUUUAAUGCUGAUAAAAAAUAAUUUCUAAGCCUAUCAUAUUUUCUACUUUUCUUCCAUGAGAACAACGUAUUAAUGUUAACACUUUAGUAUUAAUAUCUUGUUUUAUAAUAUUUUCCUUUAAGAUAUGCAUAUUAAAAGGUUGUACCAUGUUAGGUUCCAGUGGACAAGUUCCUCUGUGAAACAUGUGACUAUAUAAAGAGACUGAAUGGAAAUACAUAAAAAACAAAAGAAAUUCCACAGUCAACUUUCAACUACAUAAAUGAGACACCUGUACUAAAAUGGCUUGUACAACAAUGUACAUCACAAAUUAAAUCUGAAGCAAGAUUACUUCAAAUAAUUAUUUCAACGAAUUGCUGAAAGAUCAUUACUAGGCAAACUUUUACCCAAAAUCAGAAAACAUUCAAGCAAUCACACAAAAUAGAACACACUAGGCUACAAAUCUUGAAUAUUUUCAAAGAAAAAUUAGGGUAUGAAAUAUAAGUUUUCAUGGUUUAAACAUUUAUUGUAAGUCCUAGAUGAAACAUACUGAAAAGAUUAUUUUUGCUUUAAUCCCAAUAUGCUAAGAAAAGUUCAUUGGCACAAAUAUCCAGAGGUAUUUUACAGUUUCAUUUACCUUUGGUGGCAAAGAGUAUUUUGCUAACCGUAUGGACACAGUCACAUAGUUUCCAAUGCACAGCUUUAUGCUAAAGAGAAUUCAAAUGUGUCUCUUUUUUUGCUAAAAAAGGGAUGUAAAAAGUCCAAUAUGAAACAGAACAAGUGCAACAUGAAAUACAAAAUAUGCCUAUCAUGUAGGCUUUUGAACAGUUAAUAGCUCUACAUGUUAUCUAUAAACAUUUUUUACUAGUAACAUCACUAUUGUAUAAAUAUUAAAAACAAAAAUGACAUUAAAAAAUAGCAUAUGAACUUUACAAAAAUGGCUACUUUUAGACUUCCUAAACUAAAAUCAGAAUUCAAAUAUGCAAACAAAUCUACACUAACUAAUCAAAACACACCAACAGAUACAGUUUUUCAUAAGUGUUCAAAGUUACAAUGUACAGAAUGAGUACAGACAGAUUCUGACUCAUAUAUCAAGUCCUAUACAAAGUCUUCAGAAAUUAACUGAUUAAUUGGUAUUUCAAAACACAGAUUGUUUUUGGCAGCAUAACAUGCCAAACACUUUCAGAAAGUACUGUACUUUAUUUAAAAGUUACCAACUGUAGACAAUUAAGACAGCUUAGAAUAUCACCUUUUGAAGGACACGUUAUGAAUUUACACUGUUAAU
rnacentral:lncRNA from 1 species